rnacentral:rRNA from 1 species
AGCUCCAAUAGCGUAUAUUAAAGUUGUUGCAGUUAAAAAGCUCGUAGUUGGAUUUCUGGCAGGGAGUGAGGACCCGCACGCAGCGUGGCGCCUCCUCUCCCUACCAUCCUUCUGUUAAACCGUCGGGUCUUCACCGACCAGGCGGCGGCUCAGAUAAUUUACCUUGAGAAAAUUAGAGUGUUUCAGGCAGGCCGACGCCGGGAUACAUUAGCAUGGAAUAAUGGAAUAGGACUGUCGCCUCUUCUGUUGGUCUGAGGGGUGGCCGUAAUGAUUAAUAGGGAUAGUUGGGGGCAUUAGUACUUAACUGUCAGAGGUGAAAUUCUCGGAUUUGUUAAAGACUAACUUAU